CCCUGGUAGUCCACGCCGUAAACGAUGUCGACUUGGAGGUUGUGCCCUUGAGGUGUGGCUUCCGGAGCUAACGCGUUAAGUCGACCGCCUGGGGAGUACGGCCGCAAGGUUAAAACUCAAAUGAAUUGACGGGGGCCCGCACAAGCGGUGGAGCAUGUGGUUUAAUUCGAUGCAACGCGAAGAACCUUACCUGGUCUUGACAUCCACGGAAGUUUUCAGAGAUGAGAAUGUGCCUUCGGGAACCGUGAGACAGGUGCUGCAUGGCUGUCGUCAGCUCGUGUUGUGAAAUGUUGGGUUAAGUCCCGCAACGAGCGCAACCCUUAUCCUUUGUUGCCAGCGGUCCGGCCGGGAACUCAAAGGAGACUGCCAGUGAUAAACUGGAGGAAGGUGGGGAUGACGUCAAGUCAUCAUGGCCCUUACGACCAGGGCUACACACGUGCUACAAUGGCGCAUACAAAGAGAAGCGACCUCGCGAGAGCAAGCGGACCUCAUAAAGUGCGUCGUAGUCCGGAUUGGAGUCUGCAACUCGACUCCAUGAAGUCGGAAUCGCUAGUAAUCGUGGAUCAGAAUGCCACGGUGAAUACGUUCCCGGGCCUUGUACACACCGCCCGUCACACCAUGGGAGUGGGUUGCAAAAGAAGUAGGUAGCUUAACCUUCGGGAGGGCGCUUACCACUUUGUGAUUCAUGACUGGGGUGAAGUCGUAACAAGGUAACCGUAGGGGAACCUGCGGUUGGAUCACCUCCUUACCUUAAAGAAGC
rnacentral:rRNA from 1 species